rnacentral:ncRNA from 1 species
AUAAAGUUUUAUUCUUGCUUAAAAAUUUAUUAUUAAUUUAUUUUACAUGUAAAUUUUUGUGUGAAUUUUAUUAUAUUUUAAAAAUAUAAUAUUUUUUGUUAUUCGCAGUAAUUAAUAUUAUAAAUUUAAAGAAAUUUAGAAAUAGUAAUUUUAUUUAAUAUUAACAAAUUUUGUGCCAGCAGUUGCGGUUAUACAAAAAAUAUAAAUAAAUUUUAUUAGAUAUAGUUAAAUGAAAUUAUUUUUAAAUUAAAAGUAAAUUUAUUAGGUGAAAUUUUAAAUUUAUAAUAAUUUAAUUUAUUAAAAUAGUUGAAGCUAAAAAAUUUUAAUUAUAAACUAGGAUUAGAUACCCUAUUAUUUAAAAUGUAGUUAUAAAGUCUUGAGUAGUAAUAGUUAUGGUCUUGAAAUUUAAAGAAUUUGGCGGUAUUUUAGUCUAUUCAGAGGAACCUGUCCUAUAAUCGAUAGUCCACGUUGAAUCUUACUUAAAUUUGUUUAUCAAUUUGUAUAUCGCCGUUAUCAGAAUAUUUUAUAAGAAUAAUAAUUUUCUAAAUUUUUAAUUAAAUAGUGAUGUCAGGUCAAGGUGCAGUUUAUGUUUAAGUAGAGAUGGGUUACAAUAAAUUUAUUUAUUAUGGAUAUGAAAUUGAAAUAUUUCAUUGAAGGUGGAUUUGAUAGUAAAAUUAUUUAUAUAAUUAAUUUGAUUAUAGCUCUAAGAUAUGCACAUAUCGCCCGUCGCUCUUAUUAUUAAGAUAAGAUAAGUCGUAACAUAGUAGAUGUACUGGAAAGUGUAUCUAGAAUGA